rnacentral:lncRNA from 10 species
AAGGGAGGCAGGUAUGGUAACCAACCAUUACAUCAUGCAGUGGGUGUUUAAACAAGGCUGAACACUGCACUUUGGAGCCCAGAGGGAAGGAGCCCAGAGGAAACACUGCACUUUGGAGUCCAGAGGAAAGAUGAGUAAUCUCAAACACAGGUGCUAGAUGUGCCUGUGACUUGGCUUUGACCAUACAGCCGAGGACUGUGGAGCAGUAAGGUGGAGGGAACUGAGGUUCUGGGAUGACCACGUGAAGCAAAGCUGCUCACCCACUCAGGACUGUUACAUCAGAGAGAAAAUAUAAGCUUUUUAAAGCCAAAGCUUCUUGGGAGUCUUUUUAUUACCGUGGCUUAACCUUUCCUCUAACUAAUUCAAAAGCCAAUUCCAAAACAAACCAACCAAUCAGCAGAAAAUCAGAAUGUUGAAAGUGACAUAUUCCAACUGAUGACAAAAGCCUGCAGGAUCAGAAACUUUUGGUCCCAUGUGCAAUAUGCAGUGUUCAUGGCUUCCUACCUGGAGAAAGUUAAGUUUUAUUGUGUUCAAGGAGGUUGAGAGUAUAUAUUUGAUGUCCCAAGAUUGAGGAAGUGGUCCAGCAGGAAGACUGCAUUGAGUUACCAACUUGGGUGAAAAAGAUCAAGGUGAAGAUUUUAUUCCACAAAGUAUAAGGGGCCAGUAGGUCUUUACAGAAUAGAUAGGCUCAGGCCCAAGUAUGGUGGAUUAAGACUGACCUGAGAGAACACGAUAUCAGCACAUCCAUUGAUGGGAAGGAAGGACGUUGACCCAAUAGGCCAUUGGCUUUGUGGAACAACAGUCUUGAAAACCCUUGGAGAAGAUAGGUGCAGCCAACUCUGGAGGACUGCCUGAAAGGGAGCAGAGCCUGUAGAGGAGGCAUGGAGCCUCUGGAUGAAGGGCCGGUGCAACAUUCAGAGUUCAGUAUUGAUCGUGUUUGUGAUUUAAACACUCAGAGACCAAGGAAUUGACCACUUUGAUGUGGAUUGAUGGUUUCCUGAUGCUUUAUGACAGGUGUGGCCCAGGGACCUCUCCCCCAAGCCUGGGAGAAUCAUCCUCUGCUGUUAAACAGCUCAAUCAUUUCUCAUCCCUGGCAUCCUCACUGGUCCAUUGGCUCCUCCCUUCCUCCCCUCUUACCUACAAGUGCUGACCCUUCCUGGGCUGCUGCCAAACAUGACCCUGGAUACUGUGAGUCUCAGGCUGCUGGGCUACCAGGAUCAGAAUCAAGAAGGGAAAAGGAUCAAAAUUUAUAGAGUAUCUUUUAGAGUACUAGCAUGGUCAUUUCAUUACCAACUUUGCAAAAUAGGUAUCAUUGAUCCCAUUUUAUAGACGAAUAAGUUGAGUCUGAUGGAUAACUUGCUAUGUGAGGGACCCAAGCCUGCUAAUUCUACACUUUUGCACACUCUCACUUUAUUGCCUACAGAAGAGCUCAGAAGGAGAGGGAGGGAGAGGGGGACGGGAAGUAGAACUGUCCCUGGGGUAGAAAUAAAUUGGAGUGCUGGACAUGUGCAUUAGGAGCCUACUAGGCUGUAUUGCAGAUGACUCAGUAUGCAAUGGGCAGGAAGGAGGGGUGAAGAGAGGAGUAGGCAGUUUUCUCCAAAGCUGCUUUACAACAACAUCCCUGAGUGUGAACAUAAGUGAGUCUACAUGUCUAUCUCUGCCUCUUCUACACAUACCUUUGCAGGUUGCUGUGUGGAGUUUUUUGGUGCCUUCUUUUCUAAUUUAACUUGAUUUCCUUGAGGAUGGCAGAGCUGGACAUGUUCAGGAAACCUCAGAAAAAGAGCUGUAUGUCACUAAGUCAGGAAGAGGGCCCAGAGGUCAGGGUUUCUCAUCUGGGGCCAUCAAUACCGGCCUCCUUCUAGCUCUGUCAGACACUUGGCCCCUUCUGGGUACUCUGGCAGAGUUUGGUACCAUUCUCUCACACUGAAGAGAGACCCUCAUAGGUAGAGGCAUUGCAAGCUGCAGGCUGUGGCUCACAUUGCAAUGUAGCUGUAUCAGCCAUGAUUUUUAGUUACAGGCAUCAGCCAACUCUGGCUGACUGAAGCCGAAGAGAGUUUGAUGCAAAGAACACUGGGUGGCUGGAGAAUCAGUAGGAAUGCUGACAGUAAGGCUGGAGAAUAAGCAGCCUGGAGCAGCACCGAGAAUCACAUGGUGGAAGGAGUCUGGAGAAACUUCUACUGCUUCAGCCAUUGAAUGUUGGGCACUAUCAUUGGCAUCACAGUCACCUCUGUGCACAAACUUGAACCUGCAGUAGGGAGAGAGAGAACUCCACCCUUCCUGUGUCUAGCUCCAGAGUCAAAACCCAGGGUGGCACAUGGUGGAUGGAUCCUGUGUACAGCCUGUGCCUGGCUGCAAAGGCUGCUGGGAAAGCCAGUUGCUGCAUUUUUGGCAUCUACAGUGGGAAGCAGCCACUGAAGACAAUGAAGACUCAUGAAGUGGGAACUUCUCAAUGAAAAAGGAGUUCAAAUAUUGGGUGGCCAAAUAAAAUGAUAAAUAUUCACUAUCAUUGCCUUAGUUGAGAAUCGAGAAGCUGGGGGCAGUGUGAGGGUACUGAUGGCAACAUUCUCUAACAGGUAUUGAGUGAUUAUUCUCUGGGCUAACUAUUCUAAAUGCAGUAUCUCAUUUAAUCCUUCCGACAAAUCUCCCAGGCAAUUACUAAUAUUGUACCUAUUUUCCAAAGGAGACAACUGGAUUGUAGACAUGACUGUGGCACAUACCUAGUAGGUGUCUGAGCUGAGGUUCUGGCGUAGGCAGUCUGUCUUCUGAGACUGUGCUCACAUUUUCAUGAUUGAGGGCUGGUGAGGAACUCUAGGGGUAUUUCUUUAAGUUAAAGCAUUAAAACCAGCUGUCCCUAGUGCUCAUCAUUCCAAUUAUGCCACAUUAACUCCAGUCUUUUAAAAAUCCCGUCUCAAGGUACUUCUAGGAGUCUCCAAGAUGGCUUGUGUGAACACGUGUCAGACCAGGUUAUUGGAGGCCACCGUGCUGUCACCUUCCUCUGCCAAGUCCAGGCCCACUGUGGGGACCGCUGUCCAGGCUUAGAAACUCCGGUAUGAACACUGGUGGGCGGGCACUCUCCCGUAGCUGCCCUUGGCCACAAUGGAGAUCUCCCCUGGCCCUCUCCCAGACUGAGUCACCUGUACUACACAGUUUGCCCUGUUUGACACAACUGCCAGCCAAACCUGAGAUCCUCCUGGGUCACUGGCCAUGCCCAGGAGAGGCCUCGAGGAGCCAAUCUUUGCAGCCCAGCCACAGAUGCUCUUGGCCAUCAAGGAGCUUUACUGAGCCCUGUCAGGGGACAGGAGGAUUCACUUCCCUCAGCUCCCCUCUGUGAGACACCUAUAGUAAGGCUACAGAUUUCAAAGGGACGCCAAAUUUGGUUGUUUCCACCAGCGAAACCCAUUUUUGCCCUAGGGCCCACAUAGAUCAUCAGCAUAGUGAUGUCAGCAGCACCCUUCAGGCCCAGGGGCAGAAAACUGCUGGUUGUGACAUCCUUCCUCUUCUCCUCCCCUUUAAAGACCCUGCCUUCCUUUUUCAUAAUUGGCUCAAAUCACUCUCCUCCCACUCUGAUCUCACAUUCAUUAAUUCAUCUGGUCAACAUCAAAUAUUCAUUAUGCACCAAUUAUCUGUAAAACGGGGAUAGGAAUAAUGAUAUUUCAUUGUCUUGGUUUCGGUCUUCGUGCAAGCAGACUUGAGACAAGGGCUUGGUUGCAGGCUUUUUAUUCGGGAGGUGAUCCCAGGAAGCAGGAGUGAGGGAGCAGGAAGAUUGAGCAGGGAAGGAGGAAAACAGUAACCUAAGGGUGUGCUAUUGGUUACUGCUGCUGGCAGUGGGAGCCCAAGUGCAUUGGCACAUCUGAGAAGCACACAGAAGCAUCCCAGGAUUGUCCUCCUGAAGGAAGGGAGGCAAGAGCAUUUAUCCAUAGCUCCUAGCCCCCUUGGUAGAUAGUUGCCUUGGGACAGGGAGUGAGAGGUUGGGGGUUACCUGCCCUGACCUUUAGAGGGCUGAGCUGAUUUCUGCAGCUUUAGCAAGUCUUUAAGGCAGAGAGGAGCAAGCCAUGGGCACAUGCCUAAGUGGCACUGUCCAAGGAAGAAGCUCCUCCUUGCAGUUGGACUGAAGUCAAGAGUGGGAUGAGGGGCCGUGAUACAGCACGGAAAACAUACACUACACUUUCUCAUGAAGUAGUUACCAUUAACUGAGUUAAUUUAUGUAAAACACCUAGAACAAUACCUGCCCCCAAUAAGGCUAUAUGUGUGUGUUUGCUGCUAUUAUUUGUGUGACUAUUACAUGUGCCUGGUGCUUCUCCAGGCUCUGUAGGUAACACUCUCAUGAGACUUACUUUCAGCUCACAAAACAUGCCUUGUUUAUGUGUCAAAGCUCUGAUUCUUGAUACUGUCCAAGUUCUUUUGCCAGGAGAUUCUCAGCCCCCAUGUUUGGGGAUGGCCAGGGGACAUGGCCCCACUUGACUGCCUGCCUUGCCAGUAUCUCUGAUCCAUUUUGGAGGCCUGCCCUGCCAUGCUCUGCUUCCCAGGAUCCUGAACAAGGAUUUGAGAACUAAGGUUUGAAUUCUGCAUAUGAAACAGUCAAACUCAAGUUGUCCAUCUGCUGGGAAAAGAAAAUAGCUUCAGAGCAAAGUCACUUGCCUUUUAAUAAUUGAUGGAUAAAAGAUUGCAGCAUGUGCAAAAACACACUUUCCAGAUCUGCCACUAAGAACGGUUCGGGCAGAAGAAACUGCUCUUUCCAUUGCCCCAGAGGCCAGGCCUGCCCUCAGCUAAUCUGGUGACCUAAUCCUUUCACAUGGGGGAGGACCAGAGCAUUUGCAUACAAGCAAUGAAUGCAUCUUUCCACCAGAGGCUUCCAGAGGCAAGUCCAAUCUAGUUAGUGCUUAUCUGUCCAAGCUGGCUGACCUUCUCCCAGUGCACAGUCCAGUCCCAAGUCCUCCCACCCCUGCCUUGUUCCCAGAACGAGUCUUGACUAUUCUAGCCUCAUACCUCGUCCCUAAGUUGCAACACUUGAUAUGGCUCCUUGAGGACUGCCUUGGCCAUCUCCUUGUUGCCGCUCCCACUGACUGCUUGGGUUUCAGCAGUUCACGGCUUCACGAGGCAACCCCUCCCUCUUGGUUCUAUGAUAACAUAACCGGUCACAGGCCUUUUGCCCAGCCCAGGCACUGAGGGACUGGGACCUGCCCUGGCCCCAUCUUGGCUUUCACAAAUGGGAGCUGGUGAGGUCUCACCCAGGUGAAACCCGGAAUUCACUUUCCUUUCAAAUGUUAAUAUGUUGCUGUGAAAACAUGCCUUUAUCAGUCCAGAAUCCUGUGUCUGUAAUCUCAAUAUCUAAAAGCUCUGAAAGCCAAAAGUUGGUUAUAAUCUGCAUGGUAGCAAAAUCUAACAGGGUUAAUUUCAUUUUCCAGAAUUAUCUGACCUGCACUAAGUGGAGGCUAUCUAUUGCCUUUAUUGAUCUCAUUUGGUGUGAAUACGCAUACAUGCUGCUGGAGAAAUAUUAAUGUCAUUGAUUACGAGGUGUCCCAGAGCUCACUGGGGUGUUGAUGUAUGAAGUGGUAUGUGCACCAAACUGCCUUUCUAAAAUACAUUCUGAAUUCUGAAACAUACCUGGCCCCAAGAUUUUGGAUGAGGAAUUUAGGCCUGUAUUAAAAUUAACCCAGGGAGGGUUAGGGCCUGGGAGAAGUGACCAUGAGUGGCCAUUGUUAUCUAAAGCUAAUGCAGGGAGCCAGGGGCAGCAGUGGCCUGAGUUAAAUAUCACUGGAUCCUUUAGUAUAAUUACAGAGUCAGGACUUAAGGAGAGUCAUUGACAUCCCUUUCAUCAAAAAGAAAAGAAAGAAUUGCUCCCUGUAAUCCAUACCCAUUAAUUCAGCAUCUCCCCUAGAUAGCUGAAACCCCUUCAGAAAGACUGGAAUAUUUUCUAGAUAAUAAAUCUGGGUCUUUAUCUUUCCCUUUUCUUCUUUCCCCUCUUCCCUUUGCCCCAUCCCUGAACUUCCCCCUCUUCUUGUGUUUUUGUCCAUAAAAGAGCAGCUUCUGUCAUUCAUGUGACAAUGAGCCUCCUUAGGUAAUUAAAGGGGAGUCUGCAGCCUGAACUACAAGUGAGAGGUCAUCUUUUUCAGCUUAUAGUCCUACCUCUACUGGGAGUGUGAUUCUGGGGACAAGAAGGAAGAAACGGUGCCAAAGCGCAUGGAUGGCCAAUUGUGCGCCUGGCUCUUCCAUGUGGAGUAGGCAGUGGGGCUGCUUGGAGCACACUUAGUGUUUGCCCUCCAGAUUUUUCCAGUCUCCUCAUAGAUGACCCAUGCCUGAUCUAGAAUAGGGAGGCAGGGUUUUAGAUUUAACUAGAAGUCUUCAUUUGUAUUCUUCCCAGAAGCAGACCCUGAGAUGAGGGUUCUGGGAAAUAAGGAGAACAGCAGUUGGGAAGAGGAGAACAAAGCCAGGGGAUGACUAGAGCUUAAUCCUUUGGGGAAACUCUGGGUAACAGCACAGAACACACCUCAGAGUUAUCUUCCUAAGGUGCCAGAUGAGGGAGUUGAGGUAUUUAUACACCCUCUCCUGAGACUCAUGGGUUGAGGGCUGCUGGAGGCUGCGAUGACAAUGCCCUGACACAUGGGCCUGCUUCCUGGGGGCAAAAGCCUCAGGCACAGACAUACAUACACUGGGGUUUGAAGUUGAUUGUUACAUACUGUAAUAGUAACAUCCAAGCAAUACUAGCAGGGCACUGACAGCAUCUAAUACAGUUUUUUUUUUUUUCACUAAAAUGCAAAGGAAUGUUUGCAUUUCUUUAUCAGAAGAAGGAAAAGAAUGCCAGUCUUCCCAUUUUGAUGGUUGUGCCCACAAGAACCAGCAGAGCCUGGAAGGACAAUAUGCUUGGUAGUGGGAUCAUUUGGGGCUAGUGAGGGGGCAGGGUCUCGGGAAAAAGGGCACGGUGCCUGGUGAAGGGAGUCAUUCUGGGGGUGCUGCAGUGAUGAUGCUAGUGGCAGCUGUGCCCUUGGCAAUGGGAGUGGGGGUCUGCUACUGCAGUGAACCCUGAAAGCAGUAGGGAGGUGCUUCUUUAUAUCCCUUAGAGACUUCAGCAAAAAAUAUCCUUGAAUAAGGCUAGGGUAGGCAAGGGAAAAAUGGCAGGCACAGCAGUGGACUCAGCUUGAUUGUGAAGCCCUUUCUUAGGCUCUGUAUGGGGCUGGAAAUACCACAUGUGUCCUGUUUGGUGGGGAGGGGUCCUGUUGGGUGGAUAAGUGAUGCUCAGAGCAUUUCUAGGGCAGGAGUUGUCAAACUUUUUCCUGCUAAAUAUUAUAGGCUUUAGGGGUACUACUGUCUCUGUUGUAACUACUCAGCUUCCCUAUUGUAUAUCAAGAAAUGGUCACAGACAAUAUGUAAGGAAUGCGUAUGGCUGUGUUCCAUCACAACUUUAUUUAUGGAUGCUGAAAUCAGAAUUUUAUAUAAUUUUCAUGUGUCACAAAUUUUUUUUUCUGAUUUUGUCCAUUCAUUAAAAAAUGCAAAACCUAUUUUUACCUUGUGAGCCACACUGAAACAGGCUGUAGGCUGAAUUGGGCCCGUGAACUGUAUUUGCAGACCCUUGUUCUAGGGCUUCUCUCUGACUUGGGCUCCAGGGUUAAGGGCAGAUUUCCAACCGAUUCUUGACAGCGUAGGAGGGGCAAACCUCCUCCUCACUCCAGUGAGAUAAGUGACUCAUCCAAUAAUGGCAAAGACUCAAAAGCAAGGAGAUAGAACCUCAUGUAUGCGUGGACAUUUAACUGGCUCCGGUGAAGGCUUGAAGCCCUAUUUGCUAAGCUUCUGCUCAUUUGCUGCUCCAGAAAGUGACAGCCUGCAUGACCAGUCCACAGCCUGUUACUUUGGGGAUUUUACAGGGUUCAUAGAGUAAAGAGGAGACUUUGGGUAAAUACAGAUCAAAUAUUUGGGUGACACUGGUAGAGUGAAAAGGUAGACUUUUAAGCCACAUCGCCUUGCACGCAGCUUCCAGCUCUGCCAUUUACAGCCUAGUAAUCUGAAUCAAGACACUUAAUUACUCUGGGUCUCAGUUUCCUCAUCCAUAAAAUGAGGAGCAAUAAUAACCCCCCUUUUAGGCUUAUUAUGAGGAUAAAGUAAGACAAUACGUGAAAUGACCUUGGAUCAAGCUCAGCUUGGCAUCUCAUCUUUACUUAAUGGAUGGUUUUAAAAUUAUUUUUAAUGCCAACUUCACAAAGUUGUGAUAGAAAUUAAAUGAGAUAAAUGUGUAAAGGGCUCAGGGACAUAGUAUGUGUUAAGAAAAUUAUUGCUACUAUUAAAAAUAUGAUGGAGAAAAAAAGGUUAGGUAUUUCUCCAUCUUCUCUUUGGGAUGAUGGCUCUCAAGAGGUGGGAAGAGGAGGACAAUGGCACCUGCAUAAUUUUGAUUGCAGGAUAUUUGUAUUCUUUCCCUUUCUGAAGUUCCUGAAUAGCAAAUGUUUUUGACAGCAAUUGGGUCUGGAUGCCACGUUUUGAAGCCCAACUAACAAACAAGAGAUUAUGAGACUGCAGUUAUCUUUUACCAGCUGCGUGGAAAAAUCCUGUCAUUUGGCAUCACACAACUAUGAAUUCUUUUAUCUCUUUCUCCCUUCUUAUGUGCUCCUGGAGCAUAUGUAAGCAAGCUCUGACAUUGAUAACACAUUCUUAUUAACCAUUAUCUGAAAGAUGGGAUGCCAACUUAGGAGUUUUGCAUUGCAUAUCAGAUGGAAAUUUCCAUUGGGGAAUGGAAUGUUAUCCACUCCUGGCCAAUGACAUCCCAAGGCUGAAGUUACCUUCUACAUACACCAUAGUCUGAGGUCAUGAAUUGGCUAGAUUUCUGCCCAAAUCUUUGCCUACUCCUUCAGAAGGAAAUGGAAUAUGAGGCAACUAUGGGCACUUAGAGGGAACAGAAAGUUGAUUUUCUGUCAUAUAAACGUUAGCUUCUUAGGCAGUGUAGAUGGAGCAGGUGACUGGAGCCAGAGGGAUGGGGUUGUGCUUGUAGAAAGGCCAAAUGAACAGGCUGAGUGGAGACCCUGUGGGGGCCCCUGAGAUGCACCCUUUAAUAUUCAUCCCACUCCAUGUGGUCAGUCUAAGCACAUCAUGUAAUUCCCAUUUUCCUUGACAGAAAUUGGUUAAGUAAAGGGCAUGUUAUCCACUCCUGGCCAAUGAGAUGAGGAAAAGCCUACAGUACGUGUGUGUGUGUUGGUUGGGGGGCAGUCUGGGGAAAGUUUAUCUUCUGUGAAGAAGGAACUCAGAGAGAGAGUGCCUUUUCGCCCUGUGGACUUUGCCAUGAGCGCCUGGUGCUAAGGUGUCAUCCUGCUAUCAUCCCUCUGAGAGACCAGCAUCAAGUAUUCCUGAAAGGCAAGAGGGAUGGUUCCUGGAUCCCUAAGGACAGCAUUGCCUGGCAGCUGAUCUCUACUUGCCUUCAAAUUAUAAUAUCUCUGUGCUUGCUCAUUGUUGAAGUCAGUUUGAGUUGGAACUCUGUUCCUUGUAACCAGAAGGAUCCUAUCUGGGGGCCACAUUUUUGACAUUGGAAUAUCACCAAGGUGAGAAAUAAGGGAAGGGUGUGCACUAGGCAUUUAGAAGAGGGGAGCGGCUGGGCACUUUUAAUGGGUUAGUGUGAAACAUACCUUGUACUCUAUCUGGAGCAUCCUAUAUUAAUUAACUAACUUAUUAAUGAGCCUGUAUAAGGCACCUACUACAUGGUCAGCAUAGGGACAGGUCUUUCUGAGAAUAAAAGAGUCAUAUAAAACAUCAUUCUAGUUGUCAAGCAUCAUAAAAUUUAGUUGGUGGAGACAAGACUAGAAAUAAAACAAAAUAAGUGGUUUAGAGAAGGGCGUGAUGAGUGAGUGCUAGAGUAGGUAAAAGCUUCGUGGGAGAUGGAGAAAGCUAAGCUGGGCCUUAAUCAGCAGAAAGAAUAAAGGUGAGGACAUAGAGACGUUAAGUCACAUGCUCCAACACAGCCAGAAAGUGGCAGAGCUGGGGUUCAAACCCAGUAUGUCUGACUCCUUCCAACCCUGGGCAUGUAACUACUAUGCUGGAGCAUACUUAUGCUCCCAAUGUGUAUUUGUAAGCCUGGAAUGCUCAUAUAUUAAUUUAUAAUGAGAAAUAGAACUGGAAAACAUUAUGAAUUCAAAAUCUGUGAAGCCAAGUUAUAUUCAGAAGGUUCCCAAGGCAGCUUGAAGCUGAUUAACAGACAGGAUAUCCCUGACACCAGGAUGGAGGCAUGUGUCUUGAAGGGCUAGUCCUUCUCUUCCUGGCUAGGUACUGGUAAGAGAAUGGCCAGUUUUGGAGUCUUGGGGCUCCCAUUUAAAUGCUCCAGGCUGUUCCUAAAGUCCUUCUUCAGUCAUGGUGUAAGUCAACUGGUCAGGCCUCUAGGUGUUCAUUAUGUUCACAUUUAAUUCAGUGGUGUACUAGCAAGUGUUUAACAAAUGGCUCUCUGGGGCACUGGGGGAAGCCCUAAUUUGUAACAUUCACCAAGUCAAGUUCCAUGGUGUAAAUACUCCCUCCAAGACUAUUUCAAGCUACCAGCAGGAAGAGAUGCACACAAUCAAUGGCUCUUGAGUGCUGGUACCGGCAGGCUCCAGCACACCACUGUGCUCACAUUGCAUCCUGCCUCUCAGAGCCUUCCCAGAUGCCUUGAUGGGAAUUAUGGAAUGUUCUCAGACUUUUGUAGAACAUUUACCAAAUUAGUCACAGCCAUGUGUGUGAACUUUUUCAGUUUAAUUAUUGGAAAAUGGCCUCACUUCCAAAUUCUUGGAGAACACUGUUUUUACCUUCAUGUACCGUCAACUAAUAGAGCUGUAAGGUGGCCAAAGAAACCAAAGAUGGAUUUCCUUUCUGUAUUGCCUAAAGUCCAGAGUUCUGUUAAAAAUUACUGUCAAGAGUGAGGCUUGGGGUCUGUGCUGCACUGAGUAAUACCAUGGGUAGCAAUAGAUAAAUUGGCACAGAAGAAUCUUCUACAGCACCACCGCCAUUCACCCCCUGCCUCACUUUGCUGUCUUACCCAACAUUACAUGACAGAAAAAAGAAAUUGUGUUGCCUAGUAACAGCUCUGAGCAAGGGGAGACCAGUCAAUACAAUUCUGAAUUAAGGCAACAUCCACAAAAAAAUCCAUCUUGAGGAUUUAUACGAAAACCAAAGUGUAGUUAUAGUCUUACAAGCUGGUGGAGAAGUCCCAUUAGCUUUGGGUAUUGGAUUAUUUAGAAUAAUAUAUCUGAGAUAUAGAUUUCUUUUUCUGGGAAGAAUAAUCUACUCUGAGGCCAUGAAAAUCAAUAGGCCACUUUGAAGACUGACUUCAGCUGUUAUUGGUAAUGUUUUGGUUGUGUUUGUGAAUCAACAAUCAAGCAAAAAUAAGGCCAUUUAGUAGCUCACACUAAAGAGCACUACUUGUCAAUUUUGCAACGAAGCCUCUCCAUCCAUUGAAUGAAACAGCAUCUCCCAAGGGCUGCUGUGAGCCUAUGGAGACCCUGAAAGCUGACACCAGCACAAAGAAUUAAGGAUAAGUCUUCCAGGGUGGCCAGUCAUCCCAGCAUAUUGAGACUGAGGAGUUUCCCAGGAUGCUGGACUUUUAAUGCUAAAACUAGGAAACUCCUUGGCAAACUGGGACAGUUGGUCGCCCUGGAUCAGUGGUUCUCAACUGCAGAUGAUUUUGCCCCUCAGGUAGGGUUGCCAGAUAAAACAGAAGAUACUCUGUUAAGUUUGAUUUUCAGAUAGACAAUGAAUAAUUUUUCAGUAUAAGUAUGUCCCAACUACUACAAUGGGACACAUUUAGAGUUAAAAAGAAUUAUUCUUUGCUUGUCUAAAAUUCGAAUUUAACUAGGCUUUUAACAUUUUUUAAAAAAUUUUUUUUGUAAAACUGACAGUCUUACCCCCAGGAGAUAGUUGGUAAUGAUUGGAAGCCUCUUCGGUUUUCACAACCACAACUUCAUCAGGGAUGCUACUAGCAUCUAGUGAGUAGAGGCCAGGCAUGCUGCUAAACUUCCUAUAAGGCACCAAUGCAGACAACAGCUGCCUAAAACAAAGAAUUAUCUGGCCUGAAAUGUCAGUGGUGCAGAGGUUGGGAAAUCCUGCCGUAGACCUAAACAAGCUGGUGCCACGGAGCUCCAUCUUCCUUGAGAAAACACUAAAGGAUGGACGUGGGCUUCCCUGCUUCAUGCACACAGAUGGAAAAAUGUCACAUACAUUCCUGACCUUUAACACUUUCAGUCUGAUGCGUCAAACAGCCAUUGGGAGCUUAAGAAGUGUCUAGCAAAAUGGGACAAUUCCCCUUGCCGGACUCCCCCUUCCACACUUGGAAGGGUGAGGCAGUGUGUGUCAUCAAACAAUAGAGCAGAUAAAAGCUGAAUCAGGGUGGUCUCCAGGACACCCCCAUCUCCCCAGACUUCUAUGGUGACAUUUCUUGCACUCCUCAAGUUUGUUCAUGGCUUUGAAAACACAGUUUCAGAAUGUCUUCAUUGUUUCAUACGGUACUGGCCGCGCCUGGAGUUUUCCUGAAGGAAACUGUAGCAGCAGGAAUUUUGUGCAAUACUAUAAUAAGGGGGCUUUAUCCUUCCAAAAAUACAUCCUUUCUCCUUGUUGCCAGCUCUCCCACAGCCCUGUGAAAAAUGUAGCUCAGAAGUUACUGAGGCGUUUUUCUGUUUUUCCUUUCUCACUUUAGUUCAUAUCAAGCAACAGAAAGCAAUUCUAUUAUUCACACUUAGGCGUGCUAGCUUGAAUGAAUGAACAAAUCAAAUAUCAAUCCUUUUCUCAUUUCCCUAGUGUGUAAGAACUGAAAUGUAGAAAGUGGCAUCUGCUUAAAAGGAAUUGGUGAAUUUGACUUCUCUAGGUACCUUAUCCAAGUGGAAUGAGUGUUUAAUGGGCACAGAGUUUCAGUUGGGAAGAUCGAAACGUUCUGGUAGAUGGAUGUUGGUGAUGGUUGCACAACUAUGUGAUUAUACUUAAUGUCAUGGAACUGUACACUUAAAAAUGGUUAAAAUAGUAGAUUUUAUGUUAUGUAUAUUUAAUCACAGUUUAAAGAAAGGAAUUGGUGAUGCAUGUCUAUGCAUGUAAGUUUUGAUAUAUGCUUGCUGAUUGAUUAUUUAUCUAAGGUCUGUUUACAUAUUUUCCCCCAGUAAACUUGGUACUUGCCUCAUUGUCCUGUAUCCUUAUCCUUAAAUUAAUUGGACAAUGCCUCUUUCUUCUUCUCCCUCUUCUUAACUCCAGCAGUCACAUGAAGAUAGAAAUAUAUUUUGUCUUUGGAAGUUACUCUUUUUUAAUUUUUUAAUUUUUGUGGGUACAUACAUAGUAGGUGUAUAUAUCUAUGGGGUACAUAAAAUGCUUUGAAAUAGGUAUGCAAUGCAUAAUAAUUACAUCAUGGAAAAUGGGGUAUCCAUCCCCUCAAAUAUUUAUGUUUCAUGUUAUAAUCCAAUUAUACUCUGGAGUAUACGCUGAGUACUCCAAAUGUACUCAAUAGUACAAUUAAAUUACUACUGACUAUAAUCACCCUGUUGUACUACAAAAUACUAGGUCUUAUGCAUUAUUUCUAACUAAUGUUUUUGUACUCAUUUACCAUUCCCCCUCCCCUUCACAGUCCCCCAUUACCCUUCUCAGCCU